rnacentral:snRNA from 1 species
AUCGCUUCUCGGCCUUUUGGCUAAGAUCAAGUGUGGAGAAACAUAAUGAACCCAAAUUAUAAAAGUAAUUACAAAAACGUAUGGGUAGAAAAAUGUCAGAGUAAGAAUUCCAAAAGUUCUUCCUUCUGUAAGAGCACA